GUUUGCUUCAGCACAUGUAUAUUAAAAUUGUAAUGUUACAAGAGAUUAGCAUGGCCCCUGUUCAAGCAUGACAUACAAAUUCAUAAAGCUUUUCAUAUAUUU